rnacentral:lncRNA from 1 species
GUAGUAUCAACAGGGACUAAGCAGCUGGCUCGCUGUGGAACUAGGGAAAGCACCCAGUGCUGCCCGGUUCAUCUCCCAAGGCUCUGAUCUGGGGCUGUCGCCUGAAGAGCAGUCACCCCAUUCGGGGCGCAUAGACCUACAUCCUUGAGCCCUCUUCUGCGGCACACCCAGGCCCCGGGAGGCCCCAGAGCAAGCAGCACCUGCACCCCUGGCAGGAAGUGGCCACCUGGAGAGAAGAGCUCGAUGGGCAGCAGCGCGCAGCUGUGCGGGGAGAGCCGGCCAGAUGUGGGAAUGAGCCCGGGAAGGUGGGGGCUGCGCUUCCACAGGAGAUGCUCCCGCGGGCCGCUAGUGCCCGGCCCCAGCGGAGCGAGGCCCCCGGCGCAGGGCAGGCCUACUCGGCUGCGCGGCCACAACAGCUUCCAGGCACAGCCACUGUCGCUCCCGCCCGCCACGGCCGCGCGCUCGAGGCUGCUGGGUCCUUCCCACCAGCCCUUCCUGCCCUGCUCGGGUCCUCGGGCUUCCACGCCAUCCGGACUCUUACCAGCUUCCAGUCAGAGACGAGCCACCGCCGUCUCCUGCACAAAACUCCGCUUCCCACAAGCCGCUCUGGCUGCCGGCUGCGCGCCUCCCAGGCCGCGCCGGAUCCUCCGCUCCCCCUGCCGGCCGGCGGCCAUUUCCGACCGGCAACGGCGGAACUUGCCGAAGACCAGGGACGGAAAUGGCCGAACCUGUUUUGGCCUGGGAGAGAAGAAUGCAGAGGUGUUCGUGAUUUUCCGGACGCACCCGGAGGUGGAGGCGGAGGAGGCGGUGGGCUCUGCCCUCUCGGGUCCUAGGCUCACGCUGGGUGCCGGUGAUUGUUAGAAGGAGGCGGCAGGCUGGAAGAACCCAACGUGCAAUGGGAAAGGAGACAAGUAAAAAUUUCCAGGGGUUGGUUCAUCUCCAUACUGGCAAGAGCUGACUUGCAGAUAACAGCAGCAGCAGCCUGGAGGACUUAGUCAUCCUGCGGAUUUGAAUACACAACACAUUGCUGCUUCUAACUCUGACUUACUUGGUUAUAACUGUACCUAAGCUUUAGGGAGGAAAAAAGACUCGCCUGAAACUUUCCUGGCAUUACGCUUGGCUGCUGCUCUCCGGCUGUUACCCAGCACCUCUCAUCCUCAGGUGGCAGUCAGCCUGCUCUUGCCUGCUCCUCCUCCUCCUCCCUCUCCAACAAUCUCCUGACCCAGCUCCUGUUCCUUCUCAAAGGUGGGCCAAACCAGCAGUGUGACUCUGGCUUUCUUGCCACUUUAAGCGGUUGCUUGAGUAUCAGUUCCACCGGCAGCAGUUCCCUCACUACAGGGCUCCUCUGGCUCGUUUUGAGUGGUGUCCUAGAUUCCUCC